GAUCAAGCUGCUGAUAUGCCAGCCGGGGGAUGGCUCGGCUCGAGCGCUGAUGAAGGGCGUGCCAAGCUGCGAUAAGCCCCGGCGAGGCGCAUGGAGCCUUUGAACCGGGGAUGCCCUAAU
rnacentral:rRNA from 1 species